GGGUGUAUAGCUCAGUUGGUAGAGCAUCGGGCUUUUAACCUAAUGGUUUACAUCCU
rfam:Helianthus annuus linkage group 14, whole genome shotgun sequence.